GACGCGCUGUGGGAGGACGACCCACCCGCCAACGCCUCGAACGCGCUGCAGACGCUGGUGAAACGCCUGCGUGCGGCGC
rnacentral:tRNA from 1 species